AAUAGAUACCCGGGUAGUCCACGCCGUAAACGAUGAGUGCUAAGUGUUAGAGGGUUUCCGCCCUUUAGUGCUGCAGCUAACGCAUUAAGCACUCCGCCUGGGGAGUACGGCCGCAAGGCUGAAACUCAAAGGAAUUGACGGGGGCCCGCACAGGCGGUGGAGCAUGUGGUUUAAUUCGAAGCAACGCGAAGAACCUUACCAGGUCUUGACAUCCUCUGACAACCCUAGAGAUAGGGCUUUCCCCUUCGGGGGACAGAGUGACAGGUGGUGCAUGGUUGUCGUCAGCUCGUGUCGUGAGAUGUUGGGUUAAGUCCCGCAGCGAGCGCAACCCUUGAUCUUAGUUGCCAGCAUUCAGUUGGGCACUCUAAGGUGACUGCCGGUGACAAACCGGAGGAAGGUGGGGAUGACGUCAAAUCAUCAUGCCCCUUAUGACCUGGGCUACACACGUGCUACAAUGGAUGGUACAAAGGGCUGCAAACCUGCGAAGGUAAGCGAAUCCCAUAAAGCCAUUCUCAGUUCGGAUUGCAGG
rnacentral:rRNA from 1 species